rnacentral:rRNA from 1 species
GACGAACGCUGGCGGCGGGCUUAACACAUGCAAGUCGAACGGAAAGGCCUGUCCUUCCUGGUGUUGGACGGGUACUCGAGUGGCGAACGGGGGAGUAACACGUGAUUUAUCUUCCCCCAACGUGUGUAUAAGCCUGGGAUACUGGGUCUAAUUCCCGAUAGUACUGCAGGGUGGUGCCGGUGUUGGAAACCGAUUUUCUAGUGUUUGGGGAUGAGCUCGCGGCCUAUCAGCUUGUUGGUAGGGUAAUGGCCUACCAAGGCGGCGACGGGUAGCCGGCCUGUGAGCGUGGACGGCCAAACUGGGACUGGGAUACGGCUCAGACUCCUACGGGAGGCAGCAGAGGGGAAUCUUGCGGAGUGGGCGGAAGCCUGACGCAGCGACGCAGCGUGGGGGAUGACGGGCUUCGGGUGGCCAACUGCUUUCGACGGAGAGGAAGCCGCUUGGUUGGCACGGUGGUGACGGUAGUGGUAGAAGAAGCACCGGCUAACUACGUG